UACGAAGGGGGCUAGCGUUGCUCGGAAUCACUGGGCGUAAAGGGUGCGUAGGCGGGUUUUUAAGUCAGGGGUGAAAUCCUGGAGCUCAACUCCAGAACUGCCUUUGAUACUGAAGAUCUUGAGUUCGGGAGAGGUGAGUGGAACUGCGAGUGUAGAGGUGAAAUUCGUAGAUAUUGGGAAGAACACCGGUGGCGAAGGCGGCUCACUGGCUCGUUUCUGACGCUCAGGCGCGACAGCGUGGGGAUCAAACAGG
rnacentral:rRNA from 1 species